rnacentral:rRNA from 1 species
CCUACGGGAGGCAGCAGUGGGGAAUCUUGCGCAAUGGGCGAAAGCCUGACGCAGCCAUGCCGCGUGAAUGAUGAAGGUCUUAGGAUUGUAAAAUUCUUUCACCGAGGACGAUAAUGACGGUACUCGGAGAAGAAGCCCCGGCUAACUUCGUGCCAGCAGCCGCGGUAAUACGAAGGGGGCUAGCGUUGCUCGGAAUUACUGGGCGUAAAGGGAGCGUAGGCGGAUAGUUUAGUCAGAGGUGAAAGCCCAGGGCUCAACCUUGGAAUUGCCUUUGAUACUGGCUAUCUUGAGUACGGAAGAGGUAUGUGGAACUCCGAGUGUAGAGGUGAAAUUCGUAGAUAUUCGGAAGAACACCAGUGGCGAAGGCGACAUACUGGUCCGUUACUGACGCUGAGGCUCGAAAGCGUGGGGAGCAAACAGGAUUAGAUACCCUGGUAGUCCACGCUGUAAACGAUGAGUGCUAGUUGUCGGCAUGCAUGCAUGUCGGUGACGCAGCUACGACAUUAAGACACUCCGCCGUCGGGGAGGUACGGUCGGCGAAGAAGUUAAAACUAACAAUAGUAAGUUAGUACGGCGUGAGACGUGACCGACGGACGACGACGAGGGAGGUUAGGG